GGGCGGUUAGCUCAGCGGUAGAGCAUUGCCUUCACACGGCAAGGGUCGUAGGUUCGAUCCCUACACCGCCCACCA
rnacentral:tRNA from 1 species